UACGUAGGGUGCAAGCGUUAAUCGGAAUUACUGGGCGUAAAGCGUGCGCAGGCGGUUUUGUAAGACCGAUGUGAAAUCCCCGGGCUUAACCUGGGAACUGCAUUGGUGACUGCAAGGCUUGAGUGUGUCAGAGGGAGGUGGAAUUCCACGUGUAGCGGUGAAAUGCGUAGAGAUGUGGAGGAACACCGAUGGCGAAGGCAGCCUCCUGGGCCAACACUGACGCUCAUGCACGAAAGCGUGGGGAGCAAACAGG
rnacentral:rRNA from 1 species